rnacentral:rRNA from 1 species
UGGGUAACCUGCCCAUAAGACUGGGAUAACUCCGGGAAACCGGGGCUAAUACCGGAUAANAUUUUGAACUGCAUGGUUCGAAAUUGAAAGGCGGCUUCGGCUGUCACUUAUGGAUGGACCCGCGUCGCAUUAGCUAGUUGGUGAGGUAACGGCUCACCAAGGCAACGAUGCGUAGCCGACCUGAGAGGGUGAUCGGCCACACUGGGACUGAGACACGGCCCAGACUCCUACGGGAGGCAGCAGUAGGGAAUCUUCCGCAAUGGACGAAAGUCUGACGGAGCAACGCCGCGUGAGUGAUGAAGGCUUUCGGGUCCGUAAAACUCUGUUGUUAGGGAAGAACAAGUGCUAGUUGAAUAAGCUGGCACCUUGACGGUACCUAACCAGAAAGCCACGGCUAACUACGUGCCAGCAGCCGCGGUAAUACGUAGGUGGCAAGCGUUAUCCGGAAUUAUUGGGCGUAAAGCGCGCGCAGGUGGUUUCUUAAGUCUGAUGUGAAAGCCCACGGCUCAACCGUGGAGGGUCAUUGGAAACUGGGAGACUUGAGUGCAGAAGAGGAAAGUGGAAUUCCAUGUGUAGCGGUGAAAUGCGUAGAGAUAUGGAGGAACACCAGUGGCGAAGGCGA